AUGCCCAUGUAUCAGAAGAAACAUGUGGAGCCAUUCAAAGUGGUUGAUGAAGCUCUUGAUGGUGUGAUCGAAUUUAAUAGGUGGAAUCUUGAAGCACGUGUGAAGAAGACGACAUAUGAGCGGCCUGUGGUAGAUUUUACGCAACAAAAUAUUCAUAUUAUGCAGAAAAGAGUUUAUCUCUGUCAGGGCAGAGAUGGUCGAGUUGCUUGCUAUAAGGUGGUGCCUUUUGAUGACAAAGAGUUGAAGCUUUAG